rnacentral:rRNA from 1 species
AAAUUGAAGAGUUUGAUCAUGGCUCAGAUUGAACGCUGGCGGCAGGCCUAACACAUGCAAGUCGAACGGUAACAGGAAGCAGCUUGCUGCUUCGCUGACGAGUGGCGGACGGGUGAGUAAUGUCUGGGAAGCUGCCUGAUGGAGGGGGAUAACUACUGGAAACGGUAGCUAAUACCGCAUAA